rnacentral:rRNA from 1 species
UGUAUGGUUAAGUGACUAAGCGUACACGGUGGAUGCCUGGGCAGUCAGAGGCGAUGAAGGACGUACUAACUUGCGAUAAGCGCAGAUAAGGCAGUAAGAGCCGUUUGAGUCUGCGAUUUCCGAAUGGGGAAACCCAACUGCAUAAGCAGUUACUGUUAACUGAAUACAUAGGUUAACAGAGCAAACCGGGGGAACUGAAACAUCUAAGUACCCCGAGGAGAAGAAAUCAACCGAGAUUCCGGUAGUAGCGGCGAGCGAACCUGGAUUAGCCCUUAAGCACUCGGUGAAGUAGGUGAACAAGCUGGAAAGCUUGGCGAUACAGGGUGAUAGCCCCGUAACCGACGCUUC